rnacentral:miRNA from 1 species
AAGAACCCGAGAUUCUUUCAAG